rnacentral:rRNA from 1 species
AUGGCGCGGCGCGCCUACCCCUCCGUCGGCGCUGGGCACCCGCUGCUACGCCUCAACCCGCACCAGUGCAUCCCUUUCUUGGAGGGCCUAUUCGUUAGCCGGCGCGGGGAGGCCAAGCUCGAGGCGCUACCUUCCCCGCGCGUCAUGAACACGCACAUGCCGCUGGCCAUGAUACCGCGAGCCGCCGCGCCCGGCGGGGGCGGGUGCAAGGUCGCGUACGUCUGCAGGCAGCCCAAGGACAUGGUGGUCUCGCGGUGGCACUUCCACCGGCGGCUGCAUCCCGAGCUGGCGUUCGCCGACGUCUUCGGGGCCGUGUGCAGCGGCGUGGUGGCGUACGGACCAGCGAAAACAUGUUUUAGAGUCUAUGCAUCCGGAAGAAGAAGAAGAAGGGUGUUAGUAUUGUUGCAUUGUGGGAAAGAGCUUCCAAUGCAAAUAAAAGAACUUCGACAUCUACACCAAAUCCUCCUGAUGUUGAAGUUGAGAACAGUAGUAUCAUUCCUCCUACUAUUGAGAGCAAUCUACAACUGGCACUUGUGCAAGCACAUGAACCUGAUGAUGGCCACCCAGAACCUGAGAGUGCAGCUGGCUCCCCAACCCCAAUUGUAG